rnacentral:lncRNA from 1 species
CAGUAAGCUGAAGAGAGAUCAAAGAUUCAUUAGGCUAUAGGUACAAAGUGCAGUUGUGACCGAUGGUAGGAAAUGAGGAGCUGGUCAUAAAAUUGCCAUUUUUAAAGUCGUAGUUGUAGCAGUACGAGUGGCAGUGGUGGAAGCAUUAACUUGAUCAUCUUCAAUCGCCAUUGGUACCAGAAAAUUAGCUUAGAAGAAAAAGAAACAACUCGCAAAACCCUAGCUUCGAUUCUGAGUUACCCUGAGGCAAUUCUGCAAUUUAAGAUGCAAAAUUGAAGUAACCUAAACGAAGGAAUUAGUUUGCUCGUUCAAAUUAGACCUUAUACCGAUGGUUCUGUACCAUGAUAGAAGCCAUGGGAGACCAAUUGAAGCUAGAAAGAAGUUAGAGAUUUAGAGAGAAAACGGGAGAAGAAAAAAGCUGAG